rnacentral:rRNA from 1 species
GGCUUUGCACCUGAUUGAUUUUGGUCGCCAACGAGUGGCGGACGGGUGAGUAACACGUAGGUAACCUGCCCAGAAGCGGGGGACAACAUUUGGAAACAGAUGCUAAUACCGCAUAACAGCGUUGUUCGCAUGAACAACGCUUAAAAGAUGGCUUCUCGCUAUCACUUCUGGAUGGACCUGCGGUGCAUUAGCUUGUUGGUGGGGUAACGGCCUACCAAGGCGAUGAUGCAUAGCCGAGUUGAGAGACUGAUCGGCCACAAUGGGACUGAGACACGGCCCAUACUCCUACGGGAGGCAGCAGUAGGGAAUCUUCCACAAUGGGCGCAAGCCUGAUGGAGCAACACCGCGUGAGUGAAGAAGGGUUUCGGCUCGUAAAGCUCUGUUGUUAAAGAAGAACACGUAUGAGAGUAACUGUUCAUACGUUGACGGUAUUUAACCAGAAAGUCACGGCUAACUACGUGCCAGCAGCCGCGGUAAUACGUAGGUGGCAAGCGUUAUCCGGAUUUAUUGGGCGUAAAGAGAGUGCAGGCGGUUUUCUAAGUCUGAUGUGAAAGCCUUCGGCUUAACCGGAGAAGUGCAUCGGAAACUGGAUAACUUGAGUGCAGAAGAGGGUAGUGGAACUCCAUGUGUAGCGGUGGAAUGCGUAGAUAUAUGGAAGAACACCAGUGGCGAAGGCGGCUACCUGGUCUGCAACUGACGCUGAGACUCGAAAGCAUGGGUAGCGAACAGGAUUAGAUACCCUGGUAGUCCAUGCCGUAAACGAUGAGUGCUAGGUGUUGGAGGGUUUCCGCCCUUCAGUGCCGGAGCUAACGCAUUAAGCACUCCGCCUGGGGAGUACGACCGCAAGGUUGAAACUCAAAGGAAUUGACGGGGGCCCGCACAAGCGGUGGAGCAUGUGGUUUAAUUCGAAGCUACGCGAAGAACCUUACCAGGUCUUGACAUCUUGCGCCAACCCUAGAGAUAGGGCGUUUCCUUCGGGAACGCAAUGACAGGUGGUGCAUGGUCGUCGUCAGCUCGUGUCGUGAGAUGUUGGGUUAAGUCCCGCAACGAGCGCAACCCUUGUUACUAGUUGCCAGCAUUAAGUUGGGCACUCUAGUGAGACUGCCGGUGACAAACCGGAGGAAGGUGGGGACGACGUCAGAUCAUCAUGCCCCUUAUGACCUGGGCUACACACGUGCUACAAUGGACGGUACAACGAGUCGCGAACUCGCGAGGGCAAGCAAAUCUCUUAAAACCGUUCUCAGUUCGGACUGCAGGCUGCAACUCGCCUGCACGAAGUCGGAAUCGCUAGUAAUCGCGGAUCAGCAUGCCGCGGUGAAUACGUUCCCGGGCCUUGUACACACCGCCCGUCACACCAUGAGAGUUUGUAACACCCAAAGUCGGUGGGGUAACCCUUU